rnacentral:rRNA from 1 species
GUCCUACGGGACGCAGCAGUGGGGAAUAUUGCACAAUGGGGGAAACCCUGAUGCAGCAACGCCGCGUGAAGGAAGACGGUUUUCGGAUUGUAAACUUCUGUUCUUAGUGAAGAAGAAUGACGGUAGCUAAGGAGCAAGCCCCGGCUAACUACGUGCCAGCAGCCGCGGUAAUACGUAGGGGGCAAGCGUUAUCCGGAAUUAUUGGGCGUAAAGAGUACGUAGGUGGUUUUGUAAGCGCGGGGUGAAAGGCAGUGGCUUAACCAUUGUAAGCCUUGCGAACUGCAAGACUUGAGUGCAGGAGAGGA